CACUGAGGGGGUGGGCGUUGGGGGACCGUUCUGCUUAGGAUGAGCUCUUCUCGCCCGCCCUGUCUACCUACUACCCGUGCCUUUUGCGUACCCACUGUUUCCUCGGCAGGCUCGCCUGCCAGCAGGACCCCUUUAAAACCUUUUGCAAUUGCAGUCUGCGUCAGAAAAAACGUAUCGUUA
rnacentral:misc_RNA from 1 species